CCCUUAGAUGUUCUGGGCCGCACGCGUGCUACACUGAACGGUUCAAUGGGUAAGGUAGUGCGAAAGCAUGACCUAAUCUCGAAAUCCGUUCGUGCUGGGGAUAGAAGCUUGUAAUUAUCCUUCUUGAACGAGGAAUACCUUGUAAGCGUGAGUCAUCAUCUCACGCUGAAUACGUCCCUGCCCUUUGUACACACCGCCCGUCGCUCCUACCGAUUGAGUGUUCCGGUGAGGCUUUGGGAGAAUGGCCUCAACAUGAGUUUAUCGUGUUUUGCCGUUUGAACUUAGUCAAACCUUAUCACUUAGAGGAAGGAGAAGUCGUAACA
rnacentral:rRNA from 1 species